AAGCAUUCAUCCACAUAAAAUUAAAUAAGCCUUUUUAAAAAGCGCCCUUGUUUAGAUAGGCAGAUAGACAGACACAGACAUAGACACAGAUGUGUAUAUCUCAUGGGUAGGGUUUGAGACCAGAGUAUCCUGUAAUUCAGGCUUGCUUGAGACUGACUUAUGUGAGUGAGGCUGGCCAUGAACCCCUUUUUUUCUGACUCUUCUUUCCAAAUACUAGGGUUAUAAGCCUAGUGGCACAGUCUGGUCAUCCCAUCCUCUCUUCAUAGGUGGCUAUCAUGAGUUUAACUAAAGUAGCAAUUUUGUCCGCUGACUUGGUUGAUGGUUACUUGUUUUUGAGGCAGGGUCUCACUGAAGUAAGGCUGCUCUCACCUCAAAUUCGGGAGGACCUGCCCUGGUUUCUCACACUCGUGGUCAUGCACCGCUGUGUAAUACUUAACUGCGUACAUGUACAUUUACUGAUUGUCACAGUUAUUACCUAACCUACAUGAGCUUAUAAGAGAUUGUGUGUGUGUGUGUGUUCUUUAGGUAGUUAACUUGCAGUACAGUGAAGUUCAAGAUCGGGUCAUGCUCACUGGCCGCCACAUGGUUCGAGAUGUGAGCUGCAAAAACUGCAAUAGCAAACUGGGAUGGAUCUAUGAGUUUGCUACUGAAGACAGCCAGCGUUAUAAGGAAGGCCGUGUGAUCCUGGAACGUGCACUAGUUCGAGAGAGUGAAGGCUUUGAGGAGCAUGUACCAUCUGAUAACUCUUGAAGAAAAAAGAUAAACCCAUCUUUUCCCAGGUCUCCUUCACUGAAAACAAAAAUCUCCUUACAUACACUGUCACCUUAGCAUCAGAGUCGGAUUCAUGAACUGCGGAACAAGAGGUUGUGAGCAUCUAAGAUGGAAACUUUCUUCUUUCUUCUUUUGUUUUGUUUUUUUUAAUUUUGUAUUUUCCAUCCAACAGCAGUUUGUAGAGAG
rnacentral:lncRNA from 1 species